GCAUGCUUCGACAACAUUUAAAAUGCCUGUGUGCCAGGCGCUGCGCUGGGCUCUGAGGGACCUGGGUCACACGUGGGAAAGAGGCGACUCUAAACCUGGCCGAGUUACCCGGGGAAGCCAGAAAGUGCUCACACUGAAGUUCAGGCCAUGGAACUGUAGGCGUGCCUAUGUCGCUGAUACCAAGCAAGGGCAGAGCCCCUCUACACGAUAAACAGCAGUCUCAGCUUCUAAAUCUCUUAGAGCCCAUUGAUGCUCGGAGAACGCUUUUGCUUGCUUUCGCUGGACUCUUGUACCCUGGCCAACCCCUAGUUGAAAUUCUCCCCAGAUAUGGCAGAUUGAGUUGCCUCUCAACCUACUAUUUUCCAAAAAAACUUUUCAGUCAAUGCAAUCCGGGGUAUGAACACGGCUGAUGUUUCGUUAAUAAGUAAGACAGAAAGGAAGCCAAAGAGAUGUCGGAAUUUCAUCAGUGCUGUGAGCAACUGCUUUGCCAAAUUCGAUGGUGGCUUCCAAAUACAGUUUUUCCUCAACGUUUUGUGCUGUUUACUAGAUAAGGGCUGCAGACUUGACACAAAGUUAAGUUUAAAUACAUUGUUAAUUUUCUUUAUUACUUGGAAGUCUAGACUAGUGGUUGGGUCAGAUGGCAAAUAUUUUAGACUCUGCCAGACACAUGUAAUCUGCCACAUAGUCUUUGUUUUGUCUACCACCCUUCUCAACCUCCAAGCUCUGAACUAUAAAAUUUCUAGAUCCCGGGAAUAUAAAUAUUCCUCCGAUGGCCGAUUUCAAGCGACCGACAUGGAGUGUCUGAGGGCAGGGUUGAGAAUGCUACUUCCAGCAUAUGGAUCCGAUAGAUGUAGAUAAUCUGGAGAGCAUAGGUCAUGGUAGAAUAAUUGGGAAGUAAUGGAUUUUGAAACCUUGUUGUCAAUAGCACCGAUUUCACUGUAAACUUACAUAAUUUAACUUUUGAUAGUACUUGUUCAACAGCAAGCCCACAGAAUGCCUGAAGAUUUAACAUUUGGUUCUCGUGAGCCAGUUCCGGCUCGGCAAUGGUCUUACCCCUAAGUGGAGACAGGAGUGGGAUGACUGGAGACAGACUUUCUAGCAGGCCUUGCAGGAGCAAACAGCCAAGUGAGAAGGCCCCGGAGAGGAUCACGUGGCCGGGGACUGUGGGCAGCCUCCAGAACCUGAGGGUGGCCUGCCGGCACCAGGAAGAAGCUGGGGCCCUCGGUCAUGCAGUCACGAGGAUACGCAUCUCCCAGUGACCUGAAUGAGCUUGAAAGAGUCACAUCUCCAGACAAGAGCAAAGGUCAGCCUGUCCCUGAAUCAUAGGCCCUGGGAGACCCUGAGCUGGACCCAGCUACAGCCAAGCCCCAGCUUCUGCCCCACGGAAGUGGAGACACCCCAAGGCCAAACAGCAAGCCGUCACUGACCGAGACAAGUCUUCAUUUCCCAGGGAGCAGGCCUGGUAUCUGUGGGCCAGCGUUCGGAUUCUCCUGUCGCAGAGAGAAAUGGCUUUUUCGUUCAGAUGCUGUGGCCCCUAUCAGGCAUGAGGACCAACAGUCCCAAGAUUUUUACGCCUCUGAACGGAAGCACGUUCUUUUUCAUAAACAUUAUUUUAAAAGGGGAAAAAAAAUUGGCUCGAAGAAUACUGACGUGCCAUCCGUUCGCGUGAGGACGGAAGACCAUCCUUUUAAAACCAGUGUAUUGUAUUAGCUUGGAAAAUCAGUUCGAUAAAGAGACAACAAAUUCACAGGAAAGGCAUCAUCCUUCACCCGGCAAUACAGGGAACACACUUCGAAGUGUAGAAUUUGGCCCGACUCGGAUACAGCGGUCGUCUUGUGAGUCUAAACCAGGUUUGGUACAGAGGACAGGAACGAUGCAGCGGGGGCGUGGUGGGGGGCUAGCAUUGUCACGCUGGGUGAUCAGUGGGGACGCUUCAGCUCAGGAGGGCAGACGCUCGCCUCACAAAAAUAAUAAACCCGAGAAACAGAUCACGUGGCUUGAUUUGUGAUCGCCCAGGCCUCCUUACUCCUUAAAGCUUACCAGAAUUAAAUGAGUGGACCGUAUCCGUGUUCGGGGUGUGGAUAGACCAGCCUCAUGGGCAAAUCAGGGGGAG